rnacentral:rRNA from 1 species
CUUUACUGUAACCUGGAAUUGGGUUCGGGCUUUGCUUGCGCAGGAUAGGUGGGAGGCGUUGAGAUAUUCCUUGUGGGGAAUGUGGAGCCAACGGUGAGAUACCACUCUGGUGAGGCUAGAAUUCUAACCCGAUGCCGUGAACCGGCUCGGGAACAGUUUCAGGCGGGCAGUUUGACUGGGGCGGUCGCCUCCUAAAAGGUAACGGAGGCGCGCAAAGGUUCUCUCAGGCUGGUUGGAAAUCAGCCGUAGAGUGUAAAGGCAUAAGAGAGCUUGACUGCGAGACAAACACGUCGAGCAGGGUGGAAACACGGCCUUAGUGAUCCGACGGUGGAGAAUGGAAUCGCCGUCGCUAAAUGGAUAAAAGUUA